UUCAAGACAUUUGUCGGUGCGUAGAUUAUGGCAUUCUAGCACCAAUUUGUAUUAAGUGCACUAUUUUUGAACGCACUUUCUUUUUGUUGCCUUGCUUGUAAGUUGAUGGAGUGUUUUUGUUCUGCUGGUGUAACGUUUGUUGAGAUUCUUCUGUGUUCCCCUGUUUAGGGGAGUUAGUUUGGGAUUGGAAGUCUACGCUGGUUACUAAAGACAGCAGUGUGUUGUGUUGUGGUUUCGAACAUUAAUGUGUACGUUGUGGGAUAGCAAGGUGUAGAAUUAUUAUUUAAUUAAUAAAUUCACAGUAUUAAAAUGUUCCAAAUUCAAUGUCAUUACUCCAUUAGUUUGUCAUCAUACUUAUAUUUAUAUCAUUAAAUAUUUACAUUGUUA